rnacentral:rRNA from 1 species
GACGAACGCUGGCGGCGUGCUUAACACAUGCAAGUCGAACGGAAAGGCCCUGCUUUUGUGGGGUGCUCGAGUGGCGAACGGGUGAGUAACACGUGAGUAACCUGCCCUUGACUUUGGGAUAACUUCAGGAAACUGGGGCUAAUACCGGCUAGGAGCUCCUGCUGCAUGGUGGGGGUUGGAAAGUUUGGGCGGUUGGGGAUGAACUCGGGGCUUUUCAGCUUGUUGGUGGGGUAGUGGCUUACCAAGGCUUUGACGGGUAGCCGGCCUGAGAGGGUGACCGGCCACAUUGGGACUGAGAUACGGCCCAGACUCCUCCGGGAGGCAGCAGUGGGGAAUAUUGCACAAUGGGCGGAAGCCUGAUGCAGCAACGCCGCGUGCGGGAUGACGGCCUUCGGGUUGUAAACCGCUUUCGCCUGUGACGAAGCGUGAGUGACGGUAAUGGGUAAAGAAGCACCGGCUAACUACGUG